GACGAACGCUGGCGGCGUGCCUAAUACAUGCAAGUCGAACGCACUCUCGUUUAGAUUGAAGGAGCUUGCUCCUGAUUGAUAAACAUUUGAGUGAGUGGCGGACGGGUGAGUAACACGUGGGUAACCUGCCCUAAAGUGGGGGAUAACAUUUGGAAACAGAUGCUAAUACCGCAUAAAACCUAACACCGCAUGGUGUAGGGUUGAAAGAUGGUUUCGGCUAUCACUUUAGGAUGGACCCGCGGUGCAUUAGUUAGUUGGUGAGGUAAAGGCUCACCAAGACCGUGAUGCAUAGCCGACCUGAGAGGGUAAAUCGGCCACACUGGGACUGAGACACGGCCCAGACUCCUACGGGAGGCAGCAGUAGGGAAUCUUCCACAAUAGGACGAAAGUACUGAUGGAGCAACGCCGCGUGAGU
rnacentral:rRNA from 1 species